CACACAUGCAACAUAAUCAUCACUCCUUUUUUUUGUUUCACCGUGUGAACUCUCAGCUGCAAGAGGUGUAAACCUUGAGUCAUUAUGAGCAGACUAUCCUCUCCUUUCACUCCCCUCGGUUUGUUUGUUAGCAAUAUUACAUGAAAACUUCUGCCCUGAUUUUCAUGCAGCUUGGUGUAGCACAGGCCAACUAAGAAUCCAUUACACUUUGGAACAAAUCGGACUUGAAGAUGCAAUAUUGCACUGUUUUCCUUUUGCUUUCACUCCCAUUGUGAGAUACUGGUGCUAUGACUGUGGAGGUGGCCACUCUCUCUCGAGUCCAAGCUAGAGAACAGCAUGUGCUGUACAAACAAGGUUUUCUUCAGUCCGAUUUCUUCCGUUUUCUUCAGCCUGACGAGCCAAAGCUAAAUUAUUAGGUGGUGGACUGUGCCACUGCUUUGCCACAGCGUCUAACAUCUCUGCCAGUGUUCAGCGGCAUUUACAGCAUUUUGACAGCAUUCAGCCUCCAUUUAUUAUUUCCUUCCCCCUUAUUCGUCUCCAUGGGCUACAAACCAGGAAAUGACUUCAAUCAAUCAUUCCGUGGGGUGAGCGAGACGAGACUUCAUUAGGUCAACAACUGAACUGGGACACAGAUCGUCAUCCCCUCCAUUAUGUUUGUGUUUUUGCUGUUGCCUUCCAAUGCCCUGUCAUACAAAUGACAAGAAGAUUGCAGCACUUGAUACAUCACGGAGACUUGGGAAUGACCAGAGAGCCACUCACCUACCAGUGCACUGCACAAGAUUUAUAGUUUGCACCAUAUUCUCCUCCAGAAGAGAGAGUUUCUAGAAUCGUUGCUGUUCCUCCCGUCAGUGCCGUGUCCAGACUCCAUUCUGACCUCUAUCGUCCUGUCCUGACCUCUACUAUGUGGACGGCUCAUUACCCAGGAAGGUGUGUCCACUCAGCAGACAACGAGGCUGUUUCUUUAACACGGACGACAGGACAGAGAAACGCUGAUGGCUGAAACUCUCUAUGUACGCAUCCCCUCGUGCUUUUUUUAAACCUCAGUCUUCCACGCUGUCUUUCUGUCUCUCCAUCUCACUGCUUCUCUGCCUAACGCUGGAAAAGAUAAAGGUGCUAAAAACGGUUCUUCAGAGAGAUGCCACAGAGGAAUCUUCUGCACUGCUUCAAAGAAUCUAUAACCUGAUACAGUUCUCAAAAUAAAUAUUUCAGUACCCUUAUGGCUUGGCUUAUGCCUUAUAUGGCUUGUGUCUGUCUGUAUGUCUCACUGUCUGUCUGUCUAUCUCCUUGUCACAUGUCUAUCUGAUUCUCCUCUUCUCUGUAUUUCCCCACU